CGGUGGCCUAGUUGUUAGAGCAUCUGCCUUGCAUGAAGGAGGUUGUGGGUUCAAUCCCCGGCCAGCUUGU